CAAGCAUUCGAAAGCUAUAAACACCGAGGGUGGCUCAUUUGGGGCUAAGAUUAGAUGUAACGGGAUGAAUUUAUGGGCAGGAAAAAAUGCGCUUUAUGUGAAGACGCACCGCUCUGAACGGUGCCAAGUAUCUGAAGGUGGUAGUUAGCAGUCCUGGAAGUCCCCCUGGCCUACACAAAACUGCUCCAGGUAUAAAAAUAACGUGCAUCAGAGCCAGAAACUUGUCCUGCGUUAGGCUCGCACAGCUUGGAGGCACAGCGCCUGCUCUGCGUGGGCUUUGUCGAGCACGGCCAGGACACGAGGAGGGAGAGUUGGCUGCGGUCGGUGAUCCCUGCACCACUGGCAGCACAUCAGCAGCGGCACGGUGAUCUCAGCACACUGCAGUCUUCCUGGGGAUGAAACCCAAAUUAAGGCAGGUGAUAGUGGCUGAGUGUUUCUGCUAACCCACGGCAGCUGAUCAGCCUCUGGGAAAUGAAGCAAUGGAGGGAAACUGUUUUGGAGAGAUGAGAAGUUGUUUUGUGAGAGGAGCACCUUCACCUCCCACUCCAAUUGAUGCAGGCAAGGCAUUUUGAAGGAAAAAUUCCAGACUUGGAUCUGAUCCUAUCACCUGCUGAUGUCUCUCUCAACGCCAGUUGGUGUAAAGCGAGCCAAAGAAGAGUGUUUUUUCCUGUCUCUCUCUCUCUCUUUCCCUCUCCCACUCCCCCAGAUCUGUGUAAUCUAUAGAGGCUGGGGUAUUCAGUGCUGCUCAAAUCCUGUACUUCAGCUCAUUAAAAUGUCAGGCUCAGCACUGCAGACACUGCACUCAUUCCUAUUGACAGCAGUGGACAAUGGAGUCAGUGGGAGCUGGGGAAGUAGGAAAAAAAAAAAACACAACACGACUUUCUUUAUGGUGUGAUUACUGAUCAGUGUCUUUAAAUUACAUUAACCUCCUCUUGUGUCAUUCAGCAGAGUCUUCAGGCUGUCCUGUCCAGCAUAAACACGCAAACAUUUCAAUGAGUUUUCCCUUCUUGUGUAGCUCAGGAAAUAAAAGUGUGUUUGACACUCACCCUGCCCCGGUAAUGCUGGGUUUCGAAGUGUUCCUGUAGCUGGCUAUCUGCAGUGCAUGAGGAAAAGAGAUUUUUCUGCUGUUUCCAGCCUCUCUAAUGCAUCACACAAACCAUUUAAUAAAUACAGAGUAAAGUGAAAAAUAAAUCAUUCUGAGAGAAGCCCAAGGUGCUCUGAGAGCAAGGCACAAAGCUGUCACCCCGCUUCCCUGGGACAAAAACCCUUCCAUCAUUUAUUUUCAGGCUGCAGAAUUGAGUUAACAUCUACUACAAAAUCUGCUUAUCCACUUGCAACUGGGAUCCUUUUACCUCAGCGAACAUAUUUCUUAAUGUGAAAACAAGGCUGCUCGCAGAAAUAAUGCAGUACCCGAAAAUAAGCAUUGACCAGAGCUAAAACUUAAGUUUUGGAAAGCUGAGCGAUUGCUGUCUGUUGCCUUCCUCAUGUUUAAAGGGAUGCCCACACUUUCACAUUCAGGUGAACUCAUUCGUUUCCCAUAUAUGAGACUUCUGUAACCCCCAAUACGUCUAAUAAUGUUUCCAGUUUAACUCUGGAAAUUAUUUUAAUGAGGACUGGCUCUCUUCUAAUAAAUGGAUAUAAUGGGAGCUCAUUAAAUAUAAUCAAAAGGUUCUUCAUGCAAUAAAUCAUCAUAAUAUUUUAUCACGUAGGGAGGUGUAAAUGGCUCUCAGUAUCGCUAAACAUCCCUUACGCAAACCACUCUUCCAGGAUAUGACUGAGGAAUUAAUUUUUUUAUUUUUUUUUUCCCCCCGGGAUUUCCCCAAAGAAAAGCAAAGAGUUAAUGCUCCUGCUUCAGCUCUCAUUUUCUGCUGGGCUAGACAUUUCCUGGAGAAGCUGAAGGGAGCUGGCAGCUGCUGUGAUUCGGGAUGGGGCCGCUGCCCUGGGGGACAGUGCCCAGCUCGGGCUGUGCCGUGCUGCUCCCUGCCCCUCGCACAGGCACCAGAGCCAUUGAGAGUGCUCAGAUCAGUGCUGAGAGGGGCCAGCGCUGGUGGCACAAGGCAUUUAAUUACCACGUUAAGUAGUCACACGCGCUUGUCAAAGCAGCGCCAGCUGAGAAGGAAAGCCGUGUAACAAACAGUUUGAAGGAAACAACCGUGUUUGCAAACACUUUUUUUUCCCCUAGGUUGCUUGUUGCCUUUUGCAUGGGAAGGGGGGUCUGCUCUUUUGGAAGCAGAGCGUACUCUGAAGUCCCUAUUAAAGCAGCUGGCUCAACUGCAGCCGCUGAAGGCAGCGGUGAGAACUCGCCAGCUUCUUUUGAAAAGCAUCCUCUUGUUCUGGGCAUGUUUUAGACAAUGCAAGUUUAUUGCAGAUGCUGAUCUCUCCCCCAGAGGGUAGGGGCAAGCACUUCAGCACCGAUCAUCACACGUUUCUGGGACACUGAGAGGCUGCCAGACAAGUUAUCUCGCUCCACCUGGAAACAACUGAAAAGGAGAUUUCUUUCUCUUUGAUUCCUCUGUGUCUCAGCCAGAUGAACUUGGAAACUCAACCUGCCAAAUUCACGUGGUUUGAGAAGGUUCAAAUUAAACCUGUGGGACCUUGCUGUGCUUUCCAGAGCUUUCACCUCGUGUUCUUACUCCAGCAACCCUUCCAACCCCAGCAGUCUGAGGGCCUGAGGCAAAAAAAUCCUAAGGAAAACGCCUCAGUCCCAGCUGCCACCUGGCACGAAGCUCGCCCAGCACACAGACACACACACACGCAUCUUCCUGGCCUUUGGUUAGAAACACACGUGGUCCCACCGUGGCUUCCACUGACCUGCACACAUUUGUACCUGGGCUGUAAAAUGUUCACAAUUUAAAGAAAAACAAAAUAAAUAAAUAAAAUCCA